AUGGGCAAGGACACUAUUGCUGAUUUACUAACCUCUAUAAGAAAUGCGGACAUGAAUAAAAAGACAGUUCGAGUAGUAUCUACAAAUAUUACCGAAAACAUUGUGAAAAUACUUCUACGAGAGGGUUUUAUUGAAAGUGUUCGGAAACAUCAGGAACGUAACAGAUAUUUCUUAGUUUCAACUUUGCGACAUCAAAAGAGAAAGACUAGAAAAGGGAUAUAUAGAACAAGAACCUUUUUAAAGCGUAUCAGCCGACCCGGCUUACGAAUUUAUACCAACUAUCAAGGAAUUCCUAAAGUUUUGGGUGGAAUGGGAAUUGCUAUUCUUUCUACUUCUCGAGGAAUAAUGACAGAUCGAGAAGCUUGA
rnacentral:rRNA from 1 species